AUUCACCAUAUCCCUUCCAAAUCAAGUAGAGUUCAUGUGCGUUUCAAUACAUUUAGCAAACGCAUGCUCCUGUGGUUUGGAGCAACUUGAUUUGGAUGAAUGAAGUCUGUUUAAGAUCUUCAUGUAUAUCUCUGAUCCCAUAGAGAUGUUAUUAUGACCACAUUCAUAGGCUGCAUGUUCAGUUAGUCGGAAACUACCAAACUGACAAAGUAGUGGAGUUCAAUGACAUCCAUUACGAGAGCAUAUCUCAUCGUAGUCGACCCAGUGCGUGUUAGUGAGAGACCUUGCGCCAUAAGGUGAGUCUAAGCUCUUGUUCUCACUACGCUAUCUAACAAAGGUAUAGUUGAUAGGGUUUAGCUUGCGGUGUCGGCAUCACCUGCCCAAGGACCUAUCUCUUUGUUAAUGCUGGAUCGCAUCUUUCCAUUAGGCCAAUCAACUAAGUUGAUAUCCAUCAACGAAGGGUGGUUCGAUAGGUUCGAUAGUAGACUCAUUAUCUCACGUCCUCAUGUACACUAGUGUAAUACUUGUAGAGAUCUCUAUAUGGAUUGGAUUUGACAUUGAGGCGUCCCCCAACGAUAAUCACAAUUUAGACUUCAUGAGACGGAUUUGAGUAUCAUUGAUCAAUGGAUCAGGUUGUGCCAAUCUCGCUUUCUUCCUAGUGCGAGAAUAUAUCGAACCUAAGGGCCUCCCUCCUUUUAGGGAGCCACACGGCCUUGUGACACCAAUUUUGCCACUAUAUGGCGUCACCAUAUCACCAUCCAUGGUGAUUGGUCGCGCCAUGUCCUUUUGUAGGACAUCAAUCCUUGCAGACAUAUUUGCAGCAUGUGAUCUCGUCACUUUAACACUAUAAGCAUUUGGGAUCAAGAUGAGACUUAGUGGGGACAAACCAUGACAAUUCACGUCGUUCCACUUGAACACUUGUGUUCUUAUCUCCCCCUAACGGCGGGAAUAUUGUCUCAUCAAAGUGAUAAUCCGCAAUUUAGCGGUGAAUGAGAUCGCCUGACAAGGUUUCUACAUAUGCGGAUUAUAGGUGGAGGUUCAUAUCCAACCUAAACUUAUUCAUCUCAAAUGACCAAUCAUUGUACGCAAUGGCAAUGCGAUUUGGCAUCUAGAAAUAACAUCUAGCCGAGCUCAAGGAUUGGAGAUCCGUUUCAAUCUUGCCGAGCUCAAGGAUUGCAAUUUCGUGUCAAUCCUGGUACACAGUCACGAGCUGUAGUACAACAAAAUUCAAUGAUGGUGGGUCGUAGAUGAAUAGUAAAGCUGCAUGCAAAUAUUGCAUAGCCCCAAGACGCAAUAGAAAGAGUGGUGUGCAUCAAUAAUGUU
rnacentral:lncRNA from 1 species